rnacentral:rRNA from 1 species
GCUUACGACCAUACCCCGUUGAGAACACGACAUCCCGUCCGGUCUGUCAAGUUGAGCAACGGUGGGCCCAGUUAGUGUACAUAUAAUGUAAUUACAGGAUAUACAUAUUCU